UUUUGUCUGAUCACUGAAGUUAAGCAGCAUCAAACCUGGUUAGUACCUAAAUGGGUGACCACUUGGGAAUACCAGGUGUUGUAAG